AGAUUAAUUAGACUGACAGAUACCUUAAUGUGCGGGAGAUUCUGACAUUUAAAGGCAAUACUCGGUGAGAUCAUAAAUAACUUCUCGUUAACAGGACAGAAGCCAUCCUGUUCACUCUUGCCAAACUCUGCCCCACCACUCUUCCUCUCCUGAAUAAUAUCAGUAUUCUGUUUAACCCACAACCUCACCGCUACCACAAAUCAGAGUUUCUAUGUCAGUCUUCAGUAAAAUUGUAGCUUUAAAGUUACUUGCAUCAGAAUUGCUGAAGGAUAGGCAACCUGCUGCUUACUUGGUCAGGUGGGUGACCAGAAAAGAUAAUGAUACUUGAGAGAUUAUUUCACAAAUUCACUGACGGAAACAACUGCUAUAACUGGAAUAGAAGCAACACAGAGAGGGACUGAAGGUAGAAGGAUACUGUCAGACCUGCUGAGUUUUUCCAGCAUUUUCUGUUUUUGUUUCAGAUUUCCAGCAUCCGUAGUAUUUUGCUUUUAAUCAAGAGAGCAAAUUGUCCAAACCUCUGCAACAUGACACCUAGGAUAUCUUAAUUCCAGAGACUCAUCUGCCUGGGCUCUGUCAGCCUCCUGCCUAAUCGUGAAGGGAGUGCUAGCCAGCUGGUGAGAGGCAGGAGUGUUUCGGGCAAUAGGAGGCCACUAACAGAGACCCGAAGAAACUGUCCACAACACUCAAGUAAAUGGUUGGAAGAGGAAAGAGUCAAGAUGGCCUCUUGAGGACUUCUGUCCCUCCUAUCCCACAAGGAAACUUAACUUUCUGGAGAUUAUUUUGGUGUCAGUUCCUCUUGCAUCAGGUUGGCCUGAUGAGGAAGCCACAACAGCUUCCCUGCAUAGAGUCUGGUUAAAAUUGUAGUCAUGCCCAAAGGAUGUAUUCAGAGCAAGAUCUGCAUAUUUAAAGAUGGACCCCAUUACCUUCUGGCAGGAAUCCCUCUUGUUCACUCAGAAGAACAUAAGAACAAACAAAAUAGGACCAGGAGUA